rnacentral:lncRNA from 1 species
GAGAGAGAGAGAGAGAGAGAGAGAGGGUUGUGGAGUGCUUGAAGGAGGGCAUUAGAGUGAGAGGCAGGGUUUUAGAGGGAGAAAGGGUUUAAAGACUUUUUUUAAAGACUCUAUACUCUACAGCAAGGGGGACAGGUUUUAGAGAGAGGAGGGUUUAAGAGUUUUAGAGAGAAAAAGAAUGGGGAUUUAAAGUAAGGAGUAUUUUAGAGAGAGAGAGAUAAGGGGUUGUGAAGCACUUGAGGGAGGACACUAGAGUGAGAGGCAGGGUUUUAGAGUGAGAAUUAAAGACUUUUUUUUAGGACUCUAGAGCAUGGGGGACAGGUUUUAGAGAGAGGAGGGUUUAAG